rnacentral:lncRNA from 1 species
UAGAGCAGGAGUUACACUAGAGUUUGUCUCACCUGGAGACAAGGAGCUGGCCUUUGGUUACUCUCAUCAGUUAGAUAUUAGCUGUAGGAUGCCCAGGUUGAGGAAAUAAACUUCUGGGGAAGUUGGCACUUUUGGUCAAGGGCAAUCCUUCAAAAAAGGAGUGCAGGAGCUUCCACUGUUUCUCAGUGCUAACAAACCCAACUAGUAUCCCAUGAGAACAUGGGUUUGAUCCCUGGCCUUGCUCAGUGUCUUAAGGAUCUGGUAUUACCCUGAGCUGUGGUGUUGGUCUCAGAGGCAGCUCAGAUCUGGCAUUACUGUGGCUGUGGUGUAGGCUGGCAGCUGCAGCUCAAUUCAACCCUUGGCCUGGGAACCUCCAUAUGCCGCAGGAAGAGAGAAAAAAAAAAAAAGGAGUGCAGGAAAGAUGGAGCAUUGGACAUUCACAGAAACUGGGGUAUGGAUGCACUGGUUUGGUAAAGCUGAUUUGAUGAUGGACCAAGAGUGUUCACUACAGAGUUCAAAUGAACACAGCCAUCUUUUCCCAGGAGGGGAUCCUUUACAGAGUGGAGCCUUUGUUCAUUCCUAGAGAACCCUAAAUCUAGACCUGGUAACCCUGAGAAGAAGCCUGAGUAAGAUAGUUUAUUCAUCAUGGAGUGUCUACAUCCCAUAGGGUGCUUAGGAAAAAUUAUAUAGUCUAUGUAUAUUUCCCAGAAAAGACAAUAGGUUAAUUAAUUAAUUAAUUAAAAUAUUAGAAUGGAGAAGAAAAAUAAAUGAGUAUGAAAUGACUCUAUAAAUAUUUGACUCACACUGGGCCCAAAAGGGAAAGAAAUAAAGUAUACUUAACUGUUAUUUAUGAAUCAAUUGUUGAUUUUCUUAGAUAAGGAAAUUGCCGAAGUUCUGAACGGGAAGGGACCCUGUAUCAUCUAGUCUGACCCUCUAGUUUUACAGAUAAUAAAACGAGGGCCCAUGGAGGUCAAGGUCUUGUGGACUGUGGUUUUGUGUGUCUUCCUUUCUCUGUGAUGGUAACUGCACUAAUGAUGGGGCCAAACAGCUUUGUUUAGUUCACUUACACACAUUUGAAAGAGCCUCUGCAUCUGGAAGGCCCAUCAGAUGGGAAUCGAUCCCCCAGGGUGGUGGUAACUUGACUAAAUAUCUUGCUAUGAUCAAAGCAUCCCUGGGAGCCAUUACCUCUCCAGAGCAAUGCCCUGUUGAAAUCUGUGGAAGAAUUGGAUGCAAUCUGUGGAAGACUUUUUUAACAGCUCUCCAAGUUCCUGUAUCAGAUUCUACUUUUAUAAAUCUCACCUUGGCUGGGACCUCAGCAUUCUUAAUGUGUAAGAUGAAGCUACUGAGGCACACCCUCCCAGAAAGGUAAAGUGGCUCCGAGGUUCCCAUACAUGGCAUAAAUAUAUAGUCUUAUAAAUCUAAGAGGAAAAUUCAAGAUCAACAUAUUUAGGGUUCUCCUCUUGCAUACCGACACAUUUAGAGCAAUUAAGAAAAUUCUCUAGGGUUACAAGGAGGGACUAUAUGUCACCUCUCAUCUAAUCAGGUCCUUUCAGCCUGGCUUUUUUAAUUAGGCAGAAUUAUUUAAAACUUAAGAUACAGGGCAAAAUCAUAUAGAGCCAAUUCCUGCCAGAAAAGUCAUAUUUACAGAGUCUCUGGCUCAGUAUGUUCACAUUGAUAGAUUCCACAGAAACUGAUGCCAACGAAGUUAGCGGAGAGCCAUCUCCCACUUUAUUUAUGAUGAAAUGAUGGUUUUAACCUUCCUUCCAGCCUCUUCAAUAUUAGUCUAUGAGUCAAAAGUGUUUUAUUUGUUUUUUCACUUUUUUUUUUUUGCUUUUUAGGGCUGCACCUGUGGCAUAUGGAGGUUCCCAGGCUAGGGGUCUAAUUCAAGCUAUAGCUGCCGGUCUAUGCCACAGCCACAGCAAUGUGGGAUCUGAGCCACAUCUUUGACCUACGCCAUAGCUCAUGGCAAUGCCAGAUCCUUAAGUCACUGAGCGAUGCCAGGAAUCGAACCCACAACCUCAUGGCUCCUAGUUGGAUUUGUUUCUGCUGUGCCACAAUGGGAACUCCUAUAUUUUUUAAUUAAAGUACAGUUGGUUUACAAUAUUGUGCCCAUUUUUGCUGCACAGCACAGUGACCCAGUCAUACACACACACACACACACACACACACACACACACACAUCCCUUGUCUUAAGUUCCAUCAUAGUCUAUCCCAAGAGACUGGAUAUUGUUCCCUGUGCUAUAUAGUAGGACUUCAUUGCUUAUCCUUUCUAAAGUGUCUUAUAAUCAAAUGCUAGGUGGCCUCAAAGUGAAAGGCAAACUCAUGAUCCAGCCCAAGUAACAUCAUACUAAGCAAGACCAAAAGUCACAUGAGGCUCAUGUUCCCAGCAAACACUGGGCAAGUCUCUUCCAUGCCAUUUAUAUCCAGUCGUCACAGACUGGGCAGACUCUUCCCUACUCAAAAGUCACAUAGUUUGGGAUUGGUGGAUGCGAACUAUUACAUUUAGAAUGGAUAAGCAAUAAAGUCCUACUGUACAACACAGGGAACUCUGGGGGUAGAACAAGGUAGAAGAUAGUAUGAGAAAAAAAAAUGUGUAUAUAUAUUACUGGGUCACUAUGCUGUAUAGCAGAAGUUGAUAAAACAGUGUAAAUCAACAAUACUCUAAUAAAAAAAUUAAAGUCACAUUAAUAUUUGGUUAUUCCUUCAAGGAAAAAGAAAGGUGAAGUCCACCCUGCCUUCUCAUGGUAAGUCACAAUCAUUAACUUUUUGUAUCAUACAGCUAAUCAAUAUUAUUCCAUGGAAGAUGUACUUUGCAAAUGUUGGUUUGAUGGAUGGAUGAAUGAAGGAGUGUUUGUAGAAGAAUCAACCCUAUCUGAUAAGAGAGCCUCCUAUAGUUGAUGGAAUAUGUUCAGUAUUAAAUCAUAAUCCAAAGAACAUUUAAGGUCAAACCAGUGAGGACUGUUUUUUGGAUACUAGGGCAGGUCCCAAUAUUUACAAAUAUGCUGUCUCCAGGGAUUGGUUCUGGUAAGUUGCUCUUGCCAAAAAGUAAACCGAAGGUGUUUACUCACUACAUCUUAACCAAAGUCAUUCUAUUCCUUCAACCAAACCCUGACACAAUGCAACAUGUUUAAAUCAAGUGUGAAUUGGAAAUAAGACAUUAAUUCUAUUUUCUACACGUCUUCUUAGUUACUGUUGAAAGAGACAGGAUAUAAGCUAUGAUUUGCCAAAUUUUCUUAAGUGACUUUUGAUCCUGAUUAAGACCUGGGGAUUAGAUGCAAACAGAAUGCAAACAGAGUCAGUGAAACCAAACUGUAGGAGAAUAAAACUUGCUACCUACUCCAAAAUGUGUCUCUCUGGCUUGAGGGUUAGGUCGGGCUGAUUGUAUUUAAGAAAUAAAAGGUUUGGGAAGAGCUUUUUCCUCCUCCCCUCAACUGUCUAAAAGAAUUUAAAGAGCAUAUAGAUAAAUAAAAUAUUAUGUGAACUAGGUGUUCUAGACAGGGAAACUUAGUAAGUCCUGUUUGAUCAAAGUCUUUCAUGUGUCCCAUUGUCUUUGCCUGGCCCAGAAGGCAUCUGUUUACCAAACAUUUAGUCUCUUUCAUCUUCCUAUAAAUUGCCUUCCUUCCUUUUCACCUCCAAACCCCCUACCCCUUCUCCUUCUCUCAACUGCCUAACUGUCCUUGGGUCCCAGGUUCCUAUGGAAUUCCUCCUACAUAUAUAAUUAAAAUCAAUUUUCUCCUGUUAACCUAUCUUUUGUCAGUUUAAUUCUUAGACCGGUCAGAAGGACCUAGAAGGACAGAAGAUAGGAUAGAAAUAUAGUUGUUGUUUUUUUCCCCUUCCCCAAGAAACUCUCAAAAGAUUUGCCUGUUUGCUGUUUUAUACUGACUAUAAAAUUAGCCCAGUGCUCCACUUUGCAAUGUGACUUUGAAAUCUGGACUGGCCUCAUGUCUUGCUCUGACCAGCACAAAGCAGCAAAGUGAUGGGCCCUUGAGCCCAGCUCUCCCCAAGCCAUGCAUGUCUUGUUCUUCUAGAAAACUCUUUCCACCUCAAGACUGGGCUAGCUGUCUGGAGAGAGAGAGACCACAUGGAGGAGAACCUGGUUCCUUAGCCAAGACCAUUGAAGACCAGCCUGUUGACAAGUGAGCCCCAUAUAUGAGACAGUCCAGUCUGCCUGCUGCAUCUACAGCCAACCACAACAGCAUCAGUGAGCUUACUCAAGACCAGAAGAAUCACCCCACUGACCUAGAGCCAGGGAAAUACCAAUAUGUGCAUAUUGAUCUUUAAGACACUGAAUUUUGGGGUGUUUUGUUAGGCAACAAUAAUUAUUUCUACAGUCAGCAUAACUGAGAGACGGAAUGCAAGACUGGUUUAUUGCAUGAGGAAAGUCCUCGAUGGCACUGAAUUUGAACACUGGAGAUUUAAUCUGAGAAGGGGGUAGACAUGUCACUGCCGAAGAGACUAAGGGGGGACACACCGGUGGACGUAAACCAGUCUACUGUAAGUUAUAAAAAUCAAUCAGCUGUAAGUUAUAAAACGGCUACCAGUGUCAGAAAGUUUGAGGAAGACAGAUGUUGGUUAACAUUUUCCUAACAGUUCAAGCUGUACAGAGACGGGCAAGGUGGUUUGGAAAUGUGAAGGAUUCUUGUCACCACGAGUUCCGUGAAACUCAACUGAAGGGUGAAAUCUCCAAGGAGAUGGAGGUGUUAAUCACCAUUCCUAAGGUCUCAGGUGGUUUAGAAAAAAAAAUCCAACUCAAACAUGCUUAAGCAAAUAAUACCCAAGAAGUUAUCUCCCUCCCUCUUUCUCUUCUUUCCUUCCAUUCUUUCUCCUAUCUUUCCCUUCCAUUCUCCUUCUUUCCUUCCUUCCUUUCUAUUGCUCUUUCCCUCUCUCUUUCUCUCCCUACUUCCCUCCCUCCCACUUUCCUCCCUCUUUAUCUCUGAAUCUCUCUUUAUUUUCUGUGUCAACUAAUUUUCAGGCAUGUUUCUUCAUGUAUGUUAGCCCUAGGAUCUCAAAUCUUAUAUAUCCUAUAGAAAUCUCCCUAGAAACACAGCAUUAUUCUGAUAUAUGUUCCCCCCCAAAGUGUCCUAGAACUGAGACAUUAUCCUGAAUUUGGUCACACAUCCAUCCU